rnacentral:rRNA from 1 species
AGGUACAAAAUUCAGCCACGUUAAACGACUCCUUAAGAAGCAAGAACUUAGUGGCCGUGAAAUUUUACCUUCGGUUGGGGCGACCACGGGGGAAAGAUGAGCCUCCGAGUGGGUUGGGCCAAACCCCUAAAGCCAAGAGAAAACAUUCUCUAAGCCGCAAAAUAUCUGAACCAAUAAUGAUCCGACUAAAAAGUCGAUCAACGAACCAAGUUACCCUAGGGAUAACAGCGCAAUCCUCUCCCAGAGCCCAUAUCGACGAGGGGGUUUACGACCUCGAUGUUGGAUCAGGACAUCCUAGUGGUGCAGCCGCUAUUAAG